rnacentral:rRNA from 1 species
UAGCCGUAAACGAUACUCGCUAGGUGUCGGCCACGGUGCGACCGUUGUCGGUGCCGUAGGGAAGCCGUGAAGCGAGCCACCUGGGAAGUACGGCCGCAAGGCUGAAACUUAAAGGAAUUGGCGGGGGAGCACCACAACGGGUGGAGCUUGCGGUUUAAAUGGAUUCAACGCCGGAAAUCUUACCGGGACCGACAGCAACAUGAAGGCCAAGCUGAAGACUUUGCCGGAUUAGCUGAGAGGUGGUGCAUGGCGUAGUCGUGU